rnacentral:sRNA from 1 species
GGAGGUCCGCGGUAAAUACGCACACAUGCCGCAACCCGCACCAGGGUGCCGUCGCGAACGGUUUGGUGCCGGGGGCCUGUGGAGGACCCAAC